GGAAAACGCCGGGCGGUCCACUAGCUUGUAGGCGUUGACUUCGCUGUAGUUCCAAGGGGCCACCGUGUCCACUACGGGGCCAGCGGUGCCGUUUAGGUCCCGAGGGGAAUCCCUUCUGAAACUUUGCAUUUGAGAGGAAAUUGUGACAGAAGGAGAGGGAAGUCACUUCCACUGCUUCUCAGUGUCAUGAGACUGACCCGCCCACCCUGCUGACUGAGUGCUGUGCCGGAACCAGCUGAGUCAAAGGAUGCUGACCUCUGAAAAAUCUGAAGAAGAAAUAUGAGCAACAAGAUAAAGCACUCUUUAAUGAGCUCAUUAUCCUGAUAAUAAAACACUCAGUUCCUGACUAAAUGCUGUAGAUGAAGAACUUACCUUGUAAUGCUGAGUUUCUAAGUUCGAAGGUUUGGAGAGACGUUGUUGUACUUUUGAGGGACUUGUUCUACCCAGACACUAUCCCGUUGCUCUGGAUGGUCAGAAUCAGCUCAUGGGGUGCUCUGAGUCAUUUUGAGUCAAUUUAAAUUUAUUUUACCAUGCUUCUUUCUCCUAAAAAUUCCCAGGCUGUUCACUGUCUGCCCUGAAAAAUGUGUACGUAAGGACACUGACAAUCAGUGUGAUACAGUGCAUGUCACAGUCAAUUUACUGUGACUUUAACCUCCUCCAGUCUAAUAAAAUGGUUAAGUUAUAGUUCUUUUUGUAUUAAGCAUACCUAAAGCCUUUCAUCCCUAUUUCAACUAUAUUUGUUAUUUAUUUUUAUUUGGAAAAUAGGUAUGUGGACAGAUUGCCGUAAAAUAAAAUGAACCAAUGGCUUGGGUGCCGGACAGACAGUGAGGACCAGUAUACUUCCAUGUAAUUUGCAAUGAUGAGCAAAUUAGCCUGAUGAAAUAACGAGUGACAUGAUAAACAGUAUCCAAUAAGGAGAGAUGAGACUGAAACAUUUGCGUAGAGAAUGUCUCUAUUUUGAAGUACAGGUUAGAAAGUGGCUGUAUCAAAUAUAUUAUCAUAUAUUUUGUAAAUUUUUGAUUUAUUGUACCAAAACCAAAAAAAUGUAACCAUGUGCAAUUAACAUUUUAAUGGCCCUCUCAUGGACAUUUGGUAUGAACCAUUUAUGUAAAUGUAUGAAACAGUUAAAAACAUUUACUAAGUGAAAGAAAAAACAAUUACACGCAUGGCAAUGGUAACGGGGUUAAACAUUUACUAAGUAGGGGUAAAUGUUUCAAACAUUCCCUCAGUAAGAAGAAUACACUUUCAUCAUGAUGGGCUAAUUAUUCCAUCACAGCUUGUGCACUGCAGGUAAAACACCGGCUAGGUUUAGCAAUGUAUCUCUCUCUCUCUCUCUCUCUCUCUCUCUCUCUCUCUCUCUCCCUUCUCUCUGUCUACUGUAAUUCCUAAUAUUUUUAAAAAAUAUUAAAGAUAUUAAAAAUCUGUUCUCUAUAAGUAGUGAGCCUACAGCCAGAU